rnacentral:tRNA from 1 species
GAACGCGUAGCUCAGCGGUAGAGCUCCGGCUCUUCACCGGAGGGACGCCGGUUCGAGCCCGGCCGUGUUCC